rnacentral:tRNA from 1 species
GCCCAGAUGGCGAAAUUGGUAGACGCACUGUGUUCAGGUCGCAGCGCCUGCAAGGGUGUGCUGGUUCGAAUCCAGUUCUGGGCACCA